GAUGAACGCUGGCGGCGUGCCUAAUACAUGCAAGUCGAACGCACAGCGAAAGGUGCUUGCACCUUUCAAGUGAGUGGCGAACGGGUGAGUAACACGUGGACAACCUGCCUCAAGGCUGGGGAUAACAUUUGGAAACAGAUGCUAAUACCGAAUAAAACUCAGUGUCGCAUGACACAAAGUUAAAAGGCGCUUUGGCGUCACCUAGAGAUGGAUCCGCGGUGCAUUAGUUAGGUGGUGGGGUAAAGGGCUACCAAGACAAUGAUGCAUAGCCGAGUUGAGAGACUGAUCGGCCACAUUGGCACUGAGACACGGCCCAAACUCCUACGGGAGGCUGCAGUAGGGAAUCUUCCACAAUGGGCGAAAGCCUGAUGGAGCAACGCCGCGUGUGUGAUGAAGGCUUUCGGGUCGUAAAGCACUGUUGUAUGGGAAGAACAGCUAGAAUAGGGAAUGAUUUUAGUUUGACGGUACCAUACCAGAAAGGGACGGCUAAAUACGUGCCAGCAGCCGCGGUAA
rnacentral:rRNA from 1 species